UGUGUGUGUGUGUGUGUGUGUGAGAGAGAGAGAGAGAGAGAGAGAGAGACGGGGGGGCACAUGCCCAGGAACACCCACAAGGAGUGUAAUCUAUUACCGAGAGGUCAUGUUUCCUCCACAUGCCUACAACCUGUGGGUUUGUAGCUAAAAUUAGGACUCGCCUUCCCUCUGCUACCUGAGACUCCCGCCAUCCCAAGCUGGGGAGAGUUCACAUUCCUGUCUCCCCCGCCUCUCCACCCAGGAAAGGGAGGGGACUCAUGGAUUCGCUGGGCAGGGAGGGACAGUCUAUCAGAGGCUUGACCUGAAAUGGUCAGGGAAGGCUUGCAGGCAGACAUGGGGUCUGAACUAGACUGUGAAAGACAAGUGGGAUUUAGAGAAGCUGGAGAGGCAGUGGGGAGUGUGAACAACGCGAGGAAAAGACAUGGAUCCAGCGCCCAGCACAGAGUGCACCGUGACGAAGGUCCAUGGGAGCUAUGGAGCUGGAAGCGCCUCCAUUUGGCUGUCUGUACAUCAAAUCUGUUACUUGUGACUGCCGCGUGCAGGGAGGAAUCACACACAUCUGAGGAUAGAACAGGGAACCUGGUGGCCAGCACACAGGACCCGUGAGCGCCCAGCGGCAGGGUGGGAGCGGUAAGUUAUCUGAAAGGGCACAGCCGGAGGCCUUUGGACAUUAGAUUUGUCUCAUCUGAUCUCCAGGAGGGUGCAGCUCCUUAGCCGCAUUACCAAAUGGCUGCUGUGGCUGCCAUGUGUCCAAGUCCAGCUAAUUAAGCUGGGAUUAAUUUCAGAGGCGCUGGCCUUCUGACCCCAGGGUGUGGGGCAGAGAAGGCCUGGCGCUGGGUCCACGUGGGUCCAAGCAUCCAGGAGGGCCUCACGGGCCAGGAGCUGCCUGGCAGGGUGCGCAUCGAAGAAGGCCAUGCCUCACUCCCUACUGCCCGCCUGCCAAGGGCCCAACAGGAGUAGGGGACAGAGUACCGAUCAAGUGCUGACCCUGCCCUGACUGGCUUCAGGAGGGGAGGGCGCAGAGUGGGCCUCAUGGCUGAGGAGACCUUCCCUCGUAGAACUCGCUCCCUCAGCCCUAGGGGCCCCCAGAGGCACCACGGGGAGGGUGCCAGUCCUCCAGUCCCUCCCCAGUCUGAGCACUUGAGUGAGAGCGUUUGAAGAAAGGCUUCUGCUGCCAUUUGAAAAUCACUCCAAGGCGUCGCCUGGUCUUCGAUGAAAUGCAUCUGGGCCUUGACAUCUUCAUGAAAUGAGUUUAAGGCCCUUUCCUCCUGAGCGGGCACUUUGGUAGUGUGCAGACCUGAGCGCCGGGGGUGGGGCUGCCAGACAAGAGGGAAAAGGGGAGAAGGGGACGCCCGUGAAGAGCUCUGCCUCCUCCACCGUUCCCCCCACCCCUCACGCCCCAGCCCAGGUCGCUCCUCUGGUUCCAGUCUUCCCACCUGUUCCGGCUGACAAGGGAAGACUGUCUGUGGGCUCUCCCCACUCCUGGGACAGCCCCCUGCUGCCCGCAGAAGGGAUGGGCAUGGAUGACACGGAGACUCAUCCCCCAAACUCACCUCCCCAGCUUCAGACAACAGAGGGUGGUCCCAGCAGAGCUGAAAGGAGAUUCCAGCUGGACUGGAUUUCAGGAUGAGCCUCUGGCCUCUGGCCUUUGGCAUCUUGCCUCCUGCCCCCUCGAUGUGAAGGAGGGAGAAGAGCCCGCCACUUACACCUUUCUCUUCACCCGUGGCUGAUGUCAACGAAGGAAAUUUAUGUUAGCGCGCCUAACAUUUUUGAGCGGUGUGAGGCCUGACGGCCGGAUUAUCUAGCUCAUCCCUUAAUUCUCCCUGGAAGAGUGUCUGGUGGAAGCUCAGGGCAACAGCCCUCACU